GGGCGUUAAGUUGCAGGGUAUAGACCCGAAACCCGGUGAUCUAGCCAUGGGCAGGUUGAAGGUUGGGUAACACUAACUGGAGGACCGAACCGACUAAUGUUGAAAAAUUAGCGGAUGACCUGUGGCUGGGGGUGAAAGGCCAAUCAAACCGGGAGAUAGCUGGUUCUCCCCGAAAGCUAUUUAGGUAGCGCCUCGUGAAUUCAUCUCCGGGGGUAGAGCACUGUUUCGGCUAGGGGGCCAUCCCGGCUUACCAACCCGAUGCAAACUGCGAAUACCGGAGAAUGUUAUCACGGGAGACACACGGCGGGUGCUAACGUCCGUCGUGAAGAGGGAAACAACCCAGACCGCCAGCUAAGGUCCCAAAGUCAUGGUUAAGUGGGAAACGAUGUGGGAAGGCCCAGACAGCCAGGAUGUUGGCUUAGAAGCAGCCAUCAUUUAAAGAAAGCGUAAUAGCUCACUGGUCGAGUCGGCCUGCGCGGAAGAUGUAACGGGGCUAAACCAUGCACCGAAGCUGCGGCAGCGAACGUAUCAC
rnacentral:rRNA from 3 species